rnacentral:rRNA from 1 species
AUUGAACGCUGGCGGCAUGCCUUACACAUGCAAGUCGAACGGCAGCACGGGAGCUUGCUCCUGGUGGCGAGUGGCGAACGGGUGAGUAAUGCAUCGGAACGUACCCAGGAGUGGGGGAUAACUAUCCGAAAGGAUGGCUAAUACCGCAUAUUCUGUGAGCAGGAAAGCGGGGGAUCGCAAGACCUCGCGCUCUUGGAGCGGCCGAUGUCGGAUUAGCUAGUUGGUGAGGUAAAGGCUCACCAAGGCGACGAUCCGUAGCAGGUCUGAGAGGAUGAUCUGCCACUCUGGGACUGAGACACGGCCGAGACUCCUACGGGAGGCAGCAGUGGGGAAUUUUGGACAAUGGGGGCAACCCUGAUCCAGCCAUGCCGCGUGAGUGAAGAAGGCCUUCGGGUUGUAAAGCUCUUUCGGCGGGGAAGAAGUAGCAACGGCUAAUAUCCGUUGUUGAUGACGGUACCCGCAUAAGAAGCACCGGCUAACUACGUGCCAGCCGCCGCCGUAAUAC